rnacentral:tRNA from 1 species
GUCGGACGCAGCUGGGAUUAUCCCGGUCAUCACCUUGGUGAUGGGUCCGCCGUCUCCGCAUCCCUUCUCAUGGAUCAGAUAGCUAAGCCCGGUGCUUUGCGCCGGGUUUUGGCUAUUGUGGAUCACCGCUAACUGGGGGCGUAGCUCAGUUGGGAGAGCGCGUGCUUUGCAAGCAUGAGGUCGUCGGUUCGAUCCCGUCCGCCUCCACCAAGUUCCGAUACCAAAUUCUCGGUAUGCGUUGAGCUUGUGUGAGUUGAGCGGUGAAAUGUCCAUGAGAAGCAACAGAUCGGUUGCCUGAAAGGGUGACUGUAGGCAGCAAGGGCUGCCGGUUCUUGAACAUCGUGAAAAAUGGUUUUGUGAAGUGUGACCGAAUGGGUUCCGCUUUGCAGGGAAGGCUGCCUCUUAGCCGAGAGGGCGAGCUUUCUGUCGUGAUCUGGCAACGGAUCAUGACAACUGGAAAAGCGGAUAGUGCUGUUUGUUGUGUUUGCGAUGUGUGGGCUUGUC